rnacentral:rRNA from 1 species
UAGGCUGAAAUUCGCCUACAUGAAGCCGGAAUUGCUAGUAAUGGCAGGUCAGCAUACUGCCGUGAAUACGUUCCCGGGCCUUGUACACACCGCCCGUCACACCAUGAGAGUUGGGGAUACCCGAAGCCUGUGAGCCAACUAUAUAGAGGCAGCAGUCGAAGGUAGAAUCAAUGAUUGGGGUGAAGUCGUAACAAGGUACC